rnacentral:rRNA from 1 species
UGAAUCCGGUAAUCAAUGGCCAUACUCAGUGUUUACAUUGAACACACGACGAGAAGGUGGAUCCGGAGUCCGGGACAUGAGAUGUAUCCUGGAAAAAGACGCCCAGAGAAUCCGAACACGUGUCAAGACCAGCGCUGGGGGCGUGCCUAAUACAUGCAAGUCGAGCGCAGGAAACUGACGGAACUCUUCGGAGGGAAGGCAGCGGAAUGAGCGGCGGACGGGUGAGUAACACGUAAGGAACCUGCCUCAAGGAUUGGGAUAACUCCGAGAAAUCGGAGCUAAUACCGGAUAGUUCAACGGACCGCAUGGUCCGCUGAUGAAAGGCGCUUCGGCGUCACCUUGAGAUGGCCUUGCGGUGCAUUAGCUAGUUGGUGGGGUAAUGGCUCACCAAGGCGACGAUGCAUAGCCGACCUGAGAGGGUGAUCGGCCACACUGGGACUGAGACACGGCCCAGACUCCUACGGGAGGCAGC